rnacentral:rRNA from 2 species
UCUGGUAAUGAUGGCAGAGAGGACACACCCGUUCCCAUACCGAACACGGAAGUUAAGCUCUCUAGCGCCGAUGGUAGUUGGGACCUUGUCCCUGUGAGAGUAGGACGUUGCCAGGC